rnacentral:lncRNA from 1 species
AGGAGAGUGAUGAAGGAGUUGGAGAGUCCUCAGAGUGGGUAGAAGUAGGGUCCAGGAGUCAGAAGAACACAGUCAGAGAAGACAGAUGUUACAGGAAGAAAGUAUGGCUAGAGAAGAGAUGAGGUUUUGAAGGGUGAAAUUAAGAGAUAGCUGUGAGUGAAUUUGGGGAGCAGACCGAAAAGACAGUUGAUGACAGUUGAGGCAGGAGGAGGUGAGCUGAGCCAGAGAAAUAUUGUUAGGAGAUAGAUGAAAAAGAAUUCACUAACAAAGUAGCAAUAAGAAUAUAAAGGAAAACAUAACUUUUUACAAAGAGUUACAUUUCUAUCAGUCUGUUCCAGAGCACUCCCGGGAAGGGUCUGAGCAUCCCUGCAGCAGCGGCUUCUGUCUGUCUGGGUUUGUCCUGGGACCUCCUGAACCUAUACUAUCCACAGAAUGGGUAGAUAUGUGUAAAGGCCUCGAGAGCACUACUACAGGAGUAGAAUCUGCUCUUUACAGGGAAUGUAAUUUUGGCUAAGCAGAGAAGGUGUACACCUUCAGGUCCUGUCAUGUGGGAGUCAGAAGCAGGCAGAUAUCUGUGAGUUCAGGGACAGUCCACUCAGAACAUAGUAGAGGCCAAAACAGGAGUCAAAAUGCCUGAGACACAAAGAGUAGCAAACAUUUUUUUCCUGGACACAAGUUCUUGUUGACUAGAGCAGCACAAAACUUUGUGGUCCUUUCCUGGCAGAUAUUAGCCUUGCUGCUGAACAAAAGCCCAUAAAAGACAGAGACUCCAGGUGCAGGGGGACCCAAGUGCAUCUCUCCCCUCUCAUCCCAGCCUGGGUUCCUUCCUCAUAUGGAGGACUUCAAAGUGAUGCUGCAGUUUGUCUGCUAAGUUCUUUUCCUGGAUGGCCAUCUCCCUCUUCUGCAGCAUGUACUUAAGCAUUAAGAAAUGCUUAAGGGGGAGGCCCUUCUUUCCAUAAGCUGUUCAUUACAAGAUGGUGUUCUUAGUGAAGGGUUUGUCCAGGCCUUCAUACAAGAGCAAGCACGUACAGAGAACCCCAAGAGCCUGCUGUUCAACCAGGCAAGCCAGAGGCUUUCCCAGCAAACCUCUGGGGGAAAAAAAACAGUUUAGAAGUAGAGACUAAGAAGAAAAGUCCCAAAUGGUCUCCUGGAGCCAAUGCACACAGGCAUAAUUCAGGGCGCCACCCCCACGCAGGCUUUGCUGCUACACUAGCAUGCGAGUUUAGAAUUAGCACUCCAGCUCUUUCAGAGGAGGUUUCAGAACUUUGCUCUCUUUCCUUGAAAACUAAAAAUGCAGUGCACAACAUGCUCUGCAUGUUCAGACCGUGUUGAGGUGGUGAGAGAACUGUUUUCCCUGAAGCCCCAAGUCUCCUGCUCUCUCAUCUAGGCUGUCAAAAGUCCUUCCCGCAUCCCUGGCCAUUCAAUCAGACUUUAAAGAUCCAGGAAGGAAGAACUUCCCAGCAAUGCUCAGAGAAAACAGGGCUCUCGGGGUGAUACUCAGUCUUCUGUCCCUGUGAACCAAGAACUGCUCAGUGGACAGAGACCUCAUUGGGUUGCAGGAAGAAAGAAGGCCACUUGCCUCCAGAAUCCAUGACAAUGAGAAGCACACAUUUGGCAUUUGCACUGGGAUAUUCUCCUUGCCAGCAGCUUCCCACCUGUGAUGUCCCGUGACCCUGCCAUGCACACGAGCCCCAGAACUGAGACCUCACUCAAAGCUCUGUGCCUAGUAGUACCCCACCUCUCAUGAGGACAUGUACACGUAUGACAUGUCAAUCACCUGUCUCCUUUAUUGGACUGCAGCUUCAAGCAGAGCAGCAGGAUAUGCUUGCCAACGUUCACUUUCUCACAAGAGAUUAACUUCCCCAAAUACUUGUGCCUAGACAGAAGAAUGAACGAUUACAUUGUGUGAGGUGGGUGGGUGGUAAGGCGUGUGCAUUAGAAAGGCUACAGGCAAAAGCAGAGGUGUGUGGGUGAGCUGACAGUCAAAAUGGCAAAUGGUGCCAGACAUUAGCCUGACCCACCAGCCUACCCUACCUGAUGUUGUUGAGUCUCGAAGUCACUGGUCUCUUCAUCUUGGUCCCUACAGAUCACCUUAAUGUCCCUGAAGUGCUGCUGUAGCAGGGCCUAAUCCCCCUGCAUUUUUUCCUGCCUCAACAUACAAACCUUCUUCAGCUGACACUGCUCCAUCAAGAGUCAUCUGUGCAGGGUAUGGCGAACAAACUCUGCAGAAUAAGCCCCUCACAACCUCCUUUUGCAUCCUCUACUUCAAGGUCUCUUUAAGGCUACCUAUGAUAGGAACCCAUGAAGAACUAUGAAAGGUCCCAAUACAGUCAUGACAGUUGUACUCAAAAGACCAUAAACCAAGAACAGGCUAUACAGGGAGAAAUAAGUAACCCCUAAUAUCCCUAAGAGCAAUAGGGAUCUAUGUCCCUCCAAAGAAAGAGGGAUGUCCACCUGUCCUUCUCUGUCCAAGAUAAUGAGGAAACAUUAAAAAAAAAAGUCAGAGGUAAAUAACCUCUGGGUAGGACAGGAGAGCCAAGGGGAGGACAUUCUAUCUUCUUUUUCCAUAAUUAUAGGCUCUGUGAAAACUCAGCCUAAUAUUAGAGGCUACCUGUCCCGUAUUUCAUGGUGUGAAUCACUUUUCUCUUGAUGCUCCUGAGGAUGGCAGGACAAUGCUGGGAGGGGAACAGUCUCUUUCACGCUUAGCAAAGCUGAGUACGAAAGGACUGGGGCUGAUGGCUACACAGCAAAAGGGAUAAGCUGCACACUCUCUAGUCUAGGAACAAGGAAUGACACAAACGGUCAUUGCACAGCUGCCGGAGUCCCCACAGGCAUGUAUCUACAGAAGCUGGUCUCAUUCUCCUGCUCCUGGGUGUUCUCUGUUGCUUCAAGAGUUUCCUCAUUUUCCAAGCUUUGCAAGUCUUACAUGAUCUGCUUCUGCUUUUUCUUCAGAUUCUCAUACAACAGAUUUGAACUGUGGGAGGGGCUGGCUGCAGGAGGAUAGAAUCCCAUGAAUGCAGACUGAAGGAUCCUGGGGAAUCUACAUUCUGGAUUCUAUGUACUGGGGCAUUAUGGUGACUAUGGACAUCUUAUCCUGGCCCAAAGCCUGCAGAAGUUAUGUGUCCAGAUGGAGAAUGCCCAGGCUGUAUGAGUCACUCAGGAGGACUGGAGGGGCAAUUUAGCCCAUUUUGUUCUCAGGAGCCUAUGCCACAGGGUUUGGCCCACAGAUACCAGUGAUUUAAUUUCUCUUGUCUGUCAACAAGGAUUUUUAGAUAUUAGAUAAUUACUACUGGAGUGUCAAACAUUUUUAGAAUUUUGCAGAUAAGACACAAGGGCACAACAGCUUUAUAAACUACUCAAGAGAUUUCAAUGUGCCUCCAAGGUGCAGAAUAAGCCAAGAGCUGGGCUGCUUAUAGAGGGGCUCCCAGAAUGCAUCACUGGCAUUGCUUUGAAACUGUGUGCACACCCCUAAUUCCCAGAUUCCAGAGGGACAUACAAACAAAUGUAUAUGCACAAAUGCACUGGUGAGAAAUGGAGACAGAGACAGAGAGCACAAUGGGAUGCAGAAGAAAUGCAUGGAGCAAUAUUGUCUCCAAGUAAUAGGCACAAGGAAUGAGAGGAACAGUAAUGACCUUGGGCCUUCCAAGUAAACACUGAGAUGGAAAGAGUGGGUUCAGGCUACCUGAGCUCACCAGGAGGUACCAGUACUCAACCAUGUGCCAGGCAAAUACAAAGAUUCACCACAAAGUCAGAGCAACCAGAAACUCACAAAGUGACCACAAGUCAAGGUCCUUCCAAAUGCAUGCUGGGAACUCACUCUUCAACCUCAAUUCCUGAAUCCCUGAGUUCAGUCAUUCAGACGACAGGCUCAGGUUUUCAUGUGGAAGAAGCAGAAGAGACCAGUUCUAAUCUCAUUCCUUCCCAAGUAUCAGGUUCUGAUUCUCUUCUGAGAAGUAUUUACGGACAUGAGUUGGGCACAGGGACAUGCUGUACAACCUUCUAGAACUUGGAACCCAAGACCUUAAAAGGAUAAGAUGACUGUGACAUUGCAAUCUUAGACUGACAUUAUGUGUUUGAAACAAGGAAUACUUAUUGUCCAAGGAACCUUCAGAGAUGAAGACCAGGCAAUCUUGCAGCUCAUUUCUCUUCACUGGUCAUCAACUUGAACUAAGCGGUCAGGUCUUCAUUUCCUUCAUCAUCUGCUUGUUGUAGAGGGUUGGGAUGUUGUUAGCUAUCUAGUAGCACAUUAGUGUACUUCUGUAGUGAUAAGGCAGAGAGGAUGGAAAGACCACUCUGCAUCCAAAACAGAAAUAGAGCAUGCCUGAAACCCAGUGAUACCCAAAGAUUUUGGAAUAGGCUAGAGAUGCCCCCUGUGUGGAUCUGAACUCUCCCAUCACUCUGUAGCGAAUUGUGUAUCUAAUCAGCCAAGAGGUUCUUCUACCUCUGCACACUGCCUAAUGAUGACUACAGAGAUGGACUCUCAAGGAUUAUUAACAAAUGCACAGGGUGCACCUUGGUUUCAGAGCCCUGGAACCUGUGGUUUAGGAAUCCAGCAGAAAAUGGCACAGUAGACAAGCACUAAGGUGUCUUGGAGAUGUCCAGAACUCCUGCCCUGUAUUCUAGGCCCAUAUCUGUGUAUUAAAAAGUUAUACAGAAAAC